AUGGCUCCAUUGUUCACAGUGCUGCCCUACAUAUACCAUACCCCUCCCACCUCCUCUGCCAGGGCCGAGGGGAAGAGUAGGUCCGGUGAACUGAGCUCUAGGGAGCUGGUACCAGCGUCCCUCAGCCACCCUCGGCUACCCCUUGGGGCAGCAACGAUGCCAUCCCUGUCCCUGGUAGAGAACACACAAAGGAAGCCCCACCCGUCCUUGGAACUGAAGACACGCUGGGGUGGCGGCUGGCGUGGACCCCAUUUCAGGGCGCCCCUGGUCCCCGCGGGGAACAAUAGCUGCCGCUUCCUGGGCGGUCUGGCUAACGCCAGGCACAAAGGUCUGGGCCGCCAUGUGAUGCGCAGGCUCGCUCCGCGCGCGUUCUCCACGCCCCCGCGAGCCGCCAGGCUGCAGGCAGGGUGGGCUGAUGCUCCCGAUCCACCUGGAGCACUUUCGCAAAGACAAACGCGGUUCCUCCUACUUCAGAGCAAGUCUGGGCCAGCUGGGAUCCGACCAGAAACCGCAAGCGGAGGAGACGUAGGCACACAAGCUGAGCGCUAACGGAAGCCGAGACCUGAGCCCCGCGCCUGCUGGGGAGCUGCGCAGCCAGGACAGCAGUCGGCAGCGCAGGGCCUGGACGCAGGGCCGGCCGUCGCUGCCUCACGUCCGAGGCUAGCAAGGCUGCCCGCCAGCCCCGCCGCCCGCCUUCGGACUUCCCGGGGAGCCCAGGGCCCUCCCAACGCGCCUGCACCCACACCCGCCCCUGACCCACAGUGACCCUGCAUUCCCCGCCCCCCGCCACACCUCCUGCGUGCCCGAAUGUCGCCCUUAAACGCUGCUCUACACUCAGAGAGGGACGAAUCCACCUGUGAAGGCAGGGCAGGACUAAUUUCAAUGGGUCAGAAGGUUCUUGCAGGCACUGUUUUAUUUAAGAGUGUCUAUUUACUGGCAGGAGUAUUUGUGUGGGAGGAAGUAGGCUAAGACUGCUGUUGAACUUGAAGCUAAACUUGAAAGCCAUUUAAAAUAACAAUAAAAAUAUACUUAAAACACCA
rnacentral:lncRNA from 13 species